GACCUUCGGGUCUAGCGGCGGACGGGUUAGUAACGCGUGGGAACGUACCCUUUUCUACGGAAUAGCCUUUGGAAACGAAGAGUAAUACCGUAUACGCCCUUCGGGGGAAAGAUUUAUCGGAGAAGGAUCGGCCCGCGUUAGAUUAGAUAGUUGGUGGGGUAAUGGCCUACCAAGUCUACGAUCUAUAGCUGGUUUUAGAGGAUGAUCAGCAACACUGGGACUGAGACACGGCCCAGACUCCUACGGGAGGCAGCAGUGGGGAAUCUUAGACAAUGGGCGCAAGCCUGAUCUAGCCAUGCCGCGUGAGUGAAGAAGGCCCUAGGGUCGUAAAGCUCUUUCGCCAGGGAUGAUAAUGACAGUACCUGGUAGAGAAACCCCGGCUAACUCCGUGCCAGCAGCCGCGGUAAUACGGAGGGGGUUAGCGUUGUUCGGAAUUAC
rnacentral:rRNA from 1 species